CUGCCAUGUUGGUAAAUAAUUGGAACGGCAGCGGAGAGAAAGUUUUUCAAAUGUUCAAGGGAACAAAAUUACCGUGAAAUUAGUGUACGGCAACAUCUCAACGGUAUCCGGCUCUAUUAGGAAGGAAACUAGUAAAGUCCCAAUCCAACAUCGCUGCUGCUGAAGGUUCCCCAAUGCGGAUGGUCCAUAAUCAAUUGCUGCGCGACGAAGCUCUUAUAAUAGUUUUAAUCGAUGAAGGACCGGUUGCACGAUUGCACUCUUCAGGUUCCGUAACCCUCAUCAAAAUAAUAAAGCAACAACGGUUGCUGGAACCGACGGUUUUCCAAGGAAUAAAAAUAUGAACGGUUCUCAGAGAAGCUGUCGGAUUGAUCAUUGAUCUCCAAAUAUGAGGGAAGUGUUUUCCCAGUGAGGUGACUUUUACGGCUGGCCAGUAACCUGCGAAUUGCGAAUAACCUUCCGCUAUACUGCAGGACUGUCGAAAUUUACGUCAAUUUUAUUCAGUUCACCAGGAUGGAUGCCAGAGAUUACAUCGAGAUUGAAGUGAAACGCGGAGUUUGGUUGCAUCCACGUGAGACUCAUCAGAAUGUCAUCAAUAAAUCGAGACGCAGGAAAACGAUUACCAUCUACCUACCGAAAACAUGCAAUCGGACAGAACGGUGAUUGUUCGCACGACAUCGGCUUUCUGGUAACAACAUGGAAAUGGUUAAAAGCAGCCUUGACGACAUAACUUUGUAACUAUCGCUGAGUUGUCCUGGAACUGAGUGUCUUGGAGAUUUGACACUUUGCCGCUCGUUCACCUUCGUUGAUGUUUCAAAUUAUUCUCAGGGUACCAUCAACGACUCCGGUCUGGGAGUAGCCACUGGCGUACAAUUUUCUAGUUAAACACGAGCGACCUUCAACAAGUGUACAUCUAAAUUGUGUGCGAAGGAGGUGGUUAGAGUCUGCCGAGCAUCCGGAUAUGGAGCAUGGACACCGAUCUAUAGAUAAAAACAAUGCUUUUUGGUUGAAUCUAUGGGGCCGUACACUGAUUACGUAAGCAUUUUUUCUAGGUUUUUCAAACCCCACUUCCCCCUUUGUAAGAUUUUACCCAUACAAAUAAUUUAUUAUUUAUAUGGAACGUAAGUAGAUGGCAGACAACCCCCCUCCCGUCAAAAGUGCUUACGUAAUUAGUGUACGACCCCUAUAUAUAAUUAUUAUUGAUUUAUACAAGUAGAUUUGUUCCAAUUGAUAGGGAUGUAAAUAAAAUAAAAAAAUAUUUCAAUACAAAACUCGAGUUCACAAAAGAAACGAAGAAAACUCAAUCACACACCAUGUACAUCGCACUGUUUUACAUUGAAUAUUUUUACAUCCCUUCGAUUACAUCGUUUGUUUUGUACGUCGGAAUCAUAUUACAUCGUUCCUCUUUAUUACACAGAAGGUACUCGAGUACAUCGUGCAGUGUAAUAUUCAACAACCGAUGUAUUCAGUUGGUUGCAGCGGAUUCGAUGUAAUAUUCAACAACUUUUUUUG